rnacentral:lncRNA from 1 species
ACUAUUUUCAUUAAAAAUUUAGAUUCAAGGAUUAAAGUAAUUUUUUUUUGAUAAAUAUUAAUAAUUUUUUUAAUUUAAAAAUAAAAAUAUAACAAGUAAACUUUUGAUUGGAUGAGAAAGAUAUUUGCUUCCAUCAUUAUAAAAAGAUUGUUAAAUCAAAAUUGUGAUUUAACCAUAUAAAAAUUAAUUGAGAUAAAUAUUUUUGGAAUGAUAUUUGACAAGUGACGUAACUGACAGUUGUUAUUUUCAAGUUUCAGUAAAAAUAAACAUUUUUCCUUUUUAAUAAUAUAAAUGCAAUAUUUCAAAUGUGUCGGAUAUCAAGUCAAUAAACAAUAAAUUUGCUUAUUUUUUGGUGCACCAUAUCUAUUUUAUAGAAAGUAGAUAUAUUUUAGUCACAGUAUUUUAGAGUAUACAUAUCAAGAAAAUAUUGGAUUGUAUAAAAGAAACUCCUGGUAAGGCGCCCUCAAACAAAA